rnacentral:tRNA from 1 species
GUUCUGAUAGUUUAAUUAAAACUUUAGUCUUGUAAACUAAAAAUGGAAUUUUCCUCAGAACU